UACGGAGGGUGCAAGCGUUAUCCGGAUUCACUGGGUUUAAAGGGUGUGUAGGCGGGCUUUUAAGUCAGUGGUGAAAUCUCCGGGCUCAACCCGGAAACUGCCAUUGAUACUAUUAGUCUUGAAUAUUGUUGAGGUAGGCGGAAUAUGUCAUGUAGCGGUGAAAUGCUUAGAUAUGACAUAGAACACCAAUUGCGAAGGCAGCUUACUACACAACGAUUGACGCUGAGGCACGAAAGCGUGGGGAUCAAACAGG
rnacentral:rRNA from 1 species